rnacentral:rRNA from 1 species
UCAGGAUGAACGCUAGCUACAGGCUAACACAUGCAAGUCGCGGGGCAGCAUGUGGUUGCUUGCAACCAAUGAUGGCGACCGGCGCACGGGUGAGCAACGCGUAUCCAACCUGGCCCAUAGUAGGGGAUAGCCCGGCGAAAGUCGGAUUAAUACCCUAUGUUCUCUUUGAGGACAUCUGAAAUGAAGCAAAGGUUCACCGCUAUGGGAUGGGGAUGCGUCUGAUUAGCUUGCCGGCGGGGUAACGGCCCACCGGGGCAACGAUCAGUAGGGGUUCUGAGAGGAAGGUCCCCCACACUGGUACUGAGACACGGACCAGACUCCUACGGGAGGCAGCAGUGAGGAAUAUUGGUCAAUGGGCGAGAGCCUGAACCAGCCAAGUAGCGUGCCAGGAUGACUGCCCUAUGGGUUGUAAACUGCUUUUAUAGGGGAAUAAAGUGAGGUAUGCAUACCUUUUUGUAUGUACCCUAUGAAUAAGGACCGGCUAAUUCCGUGCCAGCCGCAGC